rnacentral:rRNA from 1 species
GCGAAUAGGAAUAGCGAAUAGCGAAUAGAAUUUAAAAACUGUUCGCUACUCGCUACCAACUAUUCGCCAGCGUCGCGAAGCGACGCCAGGUUCCAAGCAUUGUGAUAAGGUAUCUGCACCUGAAUACAUAGGGUGUAAGAAGCGAACGCAGGGAACUGAAACAUCUAAGUACCUGCAGGAAAGGACAUCAACCGAGACUCCGCAAGUAGUGGCGAGCGAACGCGGACCAGGCCAGUGGCAAUUGUGAUUAAAGUGGAACGCUCUGGAAAGUGCGGCCGUAGUGGGUGACAGCCCCGUACGCGUAGAUAUCACGAUUGUCCUAGAGUAGGGCGGGACACGAGAAAUCCUGUCUGAACAUGGGGAGACCACUCUCCAAGCCUAAGUACUCGUGCAUGACCGAUAGCGAACAAGUACCGUGAGGGAAAGGUGAAAAGCACCCCGACAAGGGGAGUGAAAUAGAACCUGAAACCGGAUGCCUACAAACAGUCGGAGCCCGCAAGGGUGACGGCGUACCUUUUGUAUAAUGGGUCAACGACUUAGUGUAACAAGCAAGCUUAAGCCGGUAGGUGUAGGCGCAGCGAAAGCGAGUCUGAACAGGGCGAUAUAGUUUGUUGCAUUAGACCCGAAACCGAGUGAUCUAGCCAUGAGCAGGUUGAAGGUUGGGUAACACCAACUGGAGGACCGAACCCGCAUCUGUUGCAAUAGAUUGGGAUGACUUGUGGCUAGGGGUGAAAGGCCAAUCAAACUCGGAAAUAGCUGGUUCUCCGCGAAAUCUAUUUAGGUAGAGCGUCGAGCGAAUACCCCCGGGGGUAGAGCACUGGAUGGGCUAUGGGGACUCACCGUCUUACUGAUCCUAACCAAACUCCGAAUACCGGGGAGUACUACUCGGCAGACACACGGCGGGUGCUAACGUCCGUCGUGAAAAGGGCAACAACCCUAACCUCCAGCUAAGGUCCCCAAGUCAUGGCUAAGUGGGAAAGGAUGUGAGGAUCCCAAAACAACCAGGAUGUUGGCUUAGAAGCAGCCAUCAUUUAAAGAAAGCGUAACAGCUCACUGGUCUAAAUAAGGGUCUUUGCGCCGAAAAUGUAACGGGGCUGAAGCCAUGCACCGAAGCUGAGGAUGUGUAGCAAUACACGUGGUAGCGGAGCGUUCCGUAAGCUGAUGAAGGGAUACCCGUGAGGGGUCCUGGAGGUAUCGGAAGUGCGAAUGUUGACAUGAGUAACGAUAAAGAGGGUGAGAGACCCUCUCGCCGAAAGACCAAGGGUUCCUGCUUAAAGUUAAUCUGAGCAGGGUUAGCCGGCCCCUAAGACGAGGCGGACACGCGUAGUCGAUGGGAACCACGUUAAUAUUCGUGGGCCUGGUGGUAGUGACGGAUUGCACAAGUUGUUCUGGUUUAUUGGAUUAUCAGGGCAGCGGAGCGGUUCCAGGAAAUAGCUCCACCGUAUAGACCGUACCCGAAACCGACACAGGUGGUCAGGUAGAGUAUACCAAGGCGCUUGAGAGAACUAUGUUGAAGGAACUCGGCAAAUUGCACGCGUAACUUCGGAAGAAGCGUGACCCCAUUUUAGGCAACUAUGAUGGGGUGGCACAGACCAGGGGGUAGCGACUGUUUAUCAAAAACACAGGGCUCUGCGAAGUCGCAAGACGACGUAUAGGGUCUGACGCCUGCCCGGUGCUGGAAGGUUAAGAGGAGAGGUGCAAGCUUUGAAUCGAAGCCCCAGUAAACGGCGGCCGUAACUAUAACGGUCCUAAGGUAGCGAAAUUCCUUGUCGGGU